rnacentral:rRNA from 1 species
GAUCCUGGCUCAGAAUCAACGCUGGCGGCGUGCCUAACACAUGCAAGUCGAACGCGAAAGGGGAGCAAUCCCUGAGUAGAGUGGCAAACGGGUGAGUAACACGUGGGUGACCUGCCUUCGAGUGGGGGAUAACGUCCCGAAAGGGACGCUAAUACCGCAUGACAUCCUGCUUUUGGAAAAGCGGAGAUCAAAGCUGGGGAUCGCAAGACCUGGCGCUUGAAGAGGGGCCCGCGCCUGAUUAGCUAGUUGGUGGGGUAAUGGCUCACCAAGGCUACGAUCAGUAUCCGGCCUGAGAGGGCGGACGGACACACUGGGACUGAGACACGGCCCAGACUCCUACGGGAGGCAGCAGUGGGGAAUUGUUCGCAAUGGGCGCAAGCCUGACGACGCAACGCCGCGUGGAGGAUGAAGAUCUUCGGGUCGUAAACUCCUGUCGAGCGGGAAGAACAGCUUCGGGGCGAAUAUCCCUGGAGCCUGACGGUACCGCUAAAGGAAGCCCCGGCUAACUCCGUGCCAGCAGCCGCGGUAAUACGGGGGGGGCAAGCGUUGUUCGGAAUUACUGGGCGUAAAGGGCUCGUAGGCGGCCAACUAAGUCAGACGUGAAAUCCCCAGGCUCAACCUGGGAACUGCGUCUGAUACUGGAUGGCUUGAAUUCGGGAGAGGGAUGCAGAAUUCCAGGUGUAGCGGUGA